rnacentral:rRNA from 1 species
GUGUCAGCAGCCGCGGUAAUACAGAGGGUGCAAGCGUUGUUCGGAAUCAUUGGGCGUAAAGCGCGUGUAGGCGGCCAUUUAAGUUUGGUGUGAAAGCCCAGGGCUUAACCCUGGAAGUGCACUGAAUACUGAGUGGCUAGAGGACGAGAGAGGACAAUGGAAUUCAUGGUGUAGGGGUGAAAUCCGUAGAUAUCAUGAGGAACAUCUGUGGCGAAGGCGAUUGUCUGGCUCGUUUCUGACGCUGAGACGCGAAAGCGUGGGGAGCAAACAGGAUUAGAAACCCUAGUAGUCC